UUCGUCAUGAUCAACAGCUAACACUUUACAAUGCUCAAAGAUAUAGCUGGGCAUGGAACAGCUGGAGAAACCAAGGGAGAAAUAGCUGGAGAAACCAGGACUGCAUUGCCAUAUCCCUGCAGGAGAUUCCUGUUACAUAAAAUAUUCCAGUGAUCAAGCAGCAAUUGCCAACCUGUCGGCCUGAGGGAGAACUCCGAGAGUGAAAAGCAAGCACUGCUCUCCUGGAAGAAAAGCUGCAGCACUGCUGGUUCGUUUGUGCAUCAGAGACUGCGGGGCUGAGCAAGCAUUGCAGACAAAGAAAAAGCCCCUCUGAGAAGAAUUUGAAGAAUGAGAACAUGUUCUGAGGAACACAUUCUUAGGAAUAUCUUGGAAGUUUGCUGCAGGGAUUCCUUUCUGGCUGCCAAUACAAAGCUGCAGAGUGAACAAAUCUGCAGCCAGAAUUCGGAUGCCUAAGUGAUAACAUGAGCGUCACCGUGCUGCCAGCCAUCCCUGCGAUAAUGCUUCUCCAUACACAAGCAGGUUGGCCACUGAAACAUUUGUCUUAUUGCCUCC